CACGUAGGGGGCAAGCGUUGUCCGGAUUUAUUGGGCGUAAAGAGCUCGUAGGCGGCUCAGUAAGUCGGGUGUGAAACCUCCAGGCUCAACCUGGAGACGCCACCUGAUACUGCUGUGGCUAGAGUCCGGUAGGGGAGCGUGGAAUUCCUGGUGUAGCGGUGAAAUGCGCAGAUAUCAGGAGGAACACCGGUGGCGAAGGCGGAUCUCUGGGCCUGUUCUGACGCUGAGGCGCGAAAGCUAGGGGAGCGAACAGG
rnacentral:rRNA from 1 species